AACGUAGGAGACAAACGUUAUCCGGAGUUACUGGGCGUAAAGGGCGUGUAGGCGGUUUGUUAAGUCUGGCGUGAAAGCUCUCGGCUAAACCGGGAGAGGUCGUUGGAUACUGGCAACUAGAGGACGGUAGAGGCGUGUGGAAUUCCGGGUGUAGCGGUGAAAUGCGUAGAUAUCUGGAGGAACACCGGUGGCGAAGGCGGCAUCCUGGACCGGUAUGACGC
rnacentral:rRNA from 1 species